UACGGAGGGGGCUAGCGUUGUUCGGAAUUACUGGGCGUAAAGCGCACGUAGGCGGCUUUGUAAGUUAGAGGUGAAAGCCUGGGGCUCAACUCCAGAAUAGCCUUUAAGACUGCAUCGCUUGAACGUCGGAGAGGUGAGUGGAAUUCCGAGUGUAGAGGUGAAAUUCGUAGAUAUUCGGAAGAACACCAGUGGCGAAGGCGGCUCACUGGACGACUGUUGACGCUGAGGUGCGAAAGCGUGGGGAGCAAACAGG
rnacentral:rRNA from 2 species